ensembl:misc_RNA Metazoa_SRP Metazoan signal recognition particle RNA
GUUGGACAUGGUGGCUCAUACCUCUAAUGCCAGCACUUUGGGAGGCCAAAGCAGGGGGGUUACUUGAGACCAGGAGUUCAAGACUAGCUUGGGCAACAUAGUGAGACUUAUCUCUACCAAAAAAAAAAAAAAAAAAGAAAAGAAAAGAAAAAGAAAUUAGUCCCAGCUACUCAGAAGGCUGAGGUGAGGGGAUCACUUGAGUCUUAAGAGCUCUGGGUUAUAGUGAGCUAUGCCAAUCAGGUGUCCACACUAAGUUCAACAUCAGUUUGGUGACCUCCUGGGAGUUGGAGACCACCAGACUGCCUAAGGAGGGGUGAACUGGCCCAGAUCCAAAAGUGAUUAAGUCAAAACUCCCAUGCUGAUCAGUAGUGAGAUCAUGCCUAUGAAUAGCCACUGCACUCCAACCUGGGCAAAUUAUUAAUAGCAAGACCCUCUCUCUU